AUGGUUUUAGUUUAAAUAGAACAUCUGGCUUUGGUCCGGGAGGUUAAUAACCAUG
rnacentral:tRNA from 1 species